GCUUUUUUUGGGGUUUUUUUGGUGAUUUUUGGGGUUUUUUUUGGUGUUUUUUUAGGGUUUUUAUGAGCUUUUUUUGGGGUUUUUUUGGUGAUUUUUGGUGUUUUUUUGAUGAUCUUUGGGUUUUUUUGAGCUUUUUUUAAUGGUCUUUUUGGGCCUUUUUUGGUGGUUUUUGGGUCAUUUUGUGCUGGAGGCGGGGGAUGUUUUUGGGGUAUUUCUGGAUAUUUUUGGGAUAAUUUUGGGGUAUUUUUGGGAUAUUUUGGGGUAUUUUUGGGAUAUUUUUGGGUAUUUUUGGGAUAUUUUUGGGUUAUUUUUGGAUAUUUUGGGACAUUUUGGGUGUCACAGCAUUUGCAGCCGGGCUGGGCGGAAUCAGGGAGCUGGAGGUGGGGGAUGUUUUUGGGAUAUUUUGGGAUAUUUUGGGAUAUUUUGGGAUAAUUUUGGGAUAUUUUUGGGAUAUUUUUGGGAUAUUUUGGGAUAUUUUUUGGAUAUUUUGGGAUAUUUUGGGGGUCACUCACAGCGUUGGCAGCCGGGCUGGGCGGGAUCGGGGAGCUGGACGUGGUGGAUGUUUCUGGGAUAUUUUAGGGAUAUUUUGGGAUAUUUUUGGGAUAAUUUUGGGAUAUUUUUGGGAUAUUUCUGGAUAAUUUUUGGAUAAUUUUUGGAUAUUUUGGGGGUCACUCACAGCGUUGGCAGCCGGGCUGGGCGGGAUCGGGGAGCUGGACGUGGUGGAGGUCGGGGUGCUGCUGCUCUGGUUGAAGAUCUCGUCCUCCAUCUGGGAGUGGCUGGGGGGGGACGUGGCCACCAGAGCCUGCGCUGGGGGGGCACGGGGGGGUCACCCUGAGCAUCCCCCCCCCCCAAAAACCCCCCGGAACCCCCCGACUUCCUCCCCAAAAAAAUCCCCU
rnacentral:lncRNA from 1 species